rnacentral:rRNA from 1 species
GGGCUUGACAUCCCACGAACCUGCCCGAAAAGGUGGGGUGCCCGCAAGGGAGCGUGGAGACAGGUGGUGCAUGGCUGUCGUCAGCUCGUGUCGUGAGAUGUUGGGUUAAGUCCCGCAACGAGCGCAACCCUCACCCCUAGUUGCCACCGGGUUAAGCCGAGCACUCAAGGGGAACUGCCAGCGUCAAGCUGGAGGGAGGCGGGGAUGACGUCAAGUCAUCAUGCCCCUUACGCCCUGGGCUACACACGUGCUACAAUGGCCAGUACAAAGGGACGCGAGACCGCGAAGUGGAGCUAAUCCCAAAAAGCUGGUCUAAGUUCAGAUUGCAGUCUGCAACUCGACUACAUGAAGGAGGAAUCGCUAGUAAUCGCGCAUCAGCCCGGCGCGGUGAAUACGUUCCCGGGCCUUGUACACACCGCCCGUCACACCACGAAAGCUGUCUGUACUCGAAGUCGCUGAG